UUUUUUUUUCUUUUGAGAAAGAUGAUGAUAGAUUGAUAGGGACUACAAAUGCAAAUGGUUUGAAGAUGUUAUUUUUUCUCAAGUUGUACGCGGAUAACGUGAGGCCUUAAGAGCAACUCUAACACACCCCGCAUCCGGCCGGCCCGCAAAACGCGUUUGCAGUUCGCACAAAACCGCUUUUGCGGGUCGGCGCGGCCUG
rnacentral:lncRNA from 1 species